CCUACGGGGGGCAGCAGUGAGGAAUAUUGGUCAAUGGGCGCUAGCCUGAACCAGCCAAGUCGCGUGAAUGAUGAAUGCCCUAUGGGUUGUAAAUUUCUUCUAUAUGGGAAUAAAGUGCAGUAUGUAUACUGCUUUGAAUGUACCUUAUGAAUAAGGAUCGGAUAACUCCGUGCCAGCCGCCGCGGUAAUACGGAGGAUCCGAGCGUUAUCCGGAUUUAUUGGGCUUAAAGGGAGCGUAGGCGGGUUGUUAAGUCAGUUGUGAAAGUUUGGGGCUCAACCGUAAAAUUGCAGUUGAUACUGGCAUCCUUGAGUACAGUAGAGGGAGGCAGAAUUCGAGGUGUAGCGGUGAAAUGCGUAGAGAUGACGAAGAACUCCGAUUGCGAAGGCAGCCUGCUGGACUGUAACUGACGCUGAGGCGCGAAAGUGUGGGGAGCAAACAGGAUUAGAUACCCUUGUAGUC
rnacentral:rRNA from 1 species